AAAAUAAUAUAUUUGUGGAACAUUUUCAAGUUUUGUAUUUAUUUGAUUUGAUUUCAAAAAGUAAUAUCUAAAUUAUUGAACGAAUUAAAGCAAGCUGGAAAUAUUAAAAAAUCAAUAAAUUCAUUAAAUAUUAUUGCUAAUUAAAUACAUUUAUAAACUUAAAAAUGAUUACGGAUGUUCAACUUGCAAUUUUUUCAAAUGUUCUUGGAGUUUUUCUAUUUUUGUUAGUGGUGGCCUACCAUUAUAUCAAUGCCAAUAUGGGCAAGCCGCAAUCUUCAGGAAAUAUACGCAAAUGAAUUAAUGUAUUAAUUCUAUGAUUAGCGUAAGCAAUGUAAUUCAUAAGGUUCUUAUAAGAAUAAAUUUACGAAGAAUAAACUAA